CAGCCCCGCGGGAAUACGUAGGGUGCAAGCGUUGUCCGGAAUCAUUGGGCGUAAAGCGCGCGUAGGUGGCCAUUUAAGUCCGCUGUGAAAGUCAAAGGCUCAACCUUUGAAAGCCGGUGGAUACUGGAUGGCUAGAGUACGGAAGAGGCGAGUGGAAUUCCUGGUGUAGCGGUGGAAUGCGCAGAUAUCAGGAGGAACACCAAUAGCGAAGGCAGCUCGCUGGGACGUUACUGACACUGAGGCGCGAAAGCGUGGGGAGCGAACAGGAUUAGAUACCCCCGUAGUCCCUGUCUCUUAUACC
rnacentral:rRNA from 1 species